rnacentral:rRNA from 1 species
AUUGAACGCUGGCGGCAGGCCUAACACAUGCAAGUCGAGCGAGCGGCGGACGGGUGAGUAAUGUCUGGGAAAAUGCCUGAUGGAGAGGGAUAACUACUGGAAACGGUAGGUAAUACCGCAUACCAUCAGAUUUGCCCAGAUGGUAUUAGCUAGUAGGUGGGGUAACGGCUCACCUAGGCGACGAUCCCUAGCUGGUCUGAGAGGUUGAUCAGCCACACUGGAACUGAGACACGGUCCAGAAUCCUACGGGAGGCAGCAGUGGGGAAUAUUGGACAAGGGGCGCAAGCCUGAUGCAGCCAUGCCGCGUGUGUGAAGAAGGCCUUCGGGUUGUAAAGCACUUUCAGUGGGGAGGCGUUACCCGCAGAGGAAGCACCGGCUAACUCCGUGCCAGCAGCCGCGGUAAUUC